rnacentral:lncRNA from 7 species
AAGGGAUUAAGAGACUCAGGGUGGAAGGUGCACGACAGGACCACCAGUGAAUGAUGAGUGUAUCCCGGGUGUCACCAUAGGGAGUGCAUAAAACAUGGCCCAGAAUGCAGGGAGACAAGAAUAACCUUAUCUCCAUGGGCUGCUGCUUGUUUUGUCGACUGUCCUUCCCCGAGUGGUCAUUGGAGUUUGCCCCACGAAAAAGGAAUUGUGGAUCUGAAACCUAAAUAACUUCAGCAAUCCACAUGUAGUGCCUAUGGACAAUGAAGGAGCACAGAUAAAUACAUUACAAGGAAAAGAUGGAAAUCAGCACUGUCCUUGGGAAGGGGAUGAUAUACAAAGAAAACUGAGAGUUGGACAAAUGAAGAAAUUCCAGCAAUAAUAAUGCAGGUCUGACAUGGCUGACUUAGAAGGCAGAGAAAUGGAAUGGAGAUGAAAUACUCACAUGAGUAUUGACUGCAUUACCCGCAAUGUAAGUAGCUCUUGAAAUGUUCUACUGCUCUGCAGAAAUAAACUACCAAGC